CGGGGUGCAGCAGGCGCGAAAACUUUACAAUGCUGGCAACAGCGAUAAGGGGACCUCGAGUGCCAGGAUACAAUCUUGGCUGUCGCGAUGCCUAAAAAGCAUUGCAUAGCAAGGGCCGGGCAAGACCGGUGCCAGCCGCCGCGGUAACACCGGCGGCUCGAGUGGUAACCGCUAUUAUUGGGUCUAAAGGGUCUGUAGCCGGCCGGAUAAGUCUCUUGGGAAAUCCAGCAGCUCAACUGUUGGGCUUUCAGGAGAUACUGUUCGGCUCGAGGCCGGGAGAGGUGAGAGGUACUUCAGGGGUAGGGGUGAAAUCUUGUAAUCCUUGAAGGACCACCAGUGGCGAAGGCGUCUCACCAGAACGGACCUGACGGCAAGGGACGAAAGCUAGGGGCACGAACCGGAUUAGAUACCCGGGUAGUCCUAGCCGUAAACGAUACUCGCUAGGUGUCAGCCACGGUGCGACCGUGGUUGGUGCCGUAGGGAAGCCGUGAAGCGAGCCACCUGGGAAGUACGGCCGCAAGGCUGAAACUUAAAGGAAUUGGCGGGGGAGCACAAGGGCGAUUCGCG
rnacentral:rRNA from 1 species